UGGGGAAUUUUGCACAAUGGGCGCAAGCCUGAUGCAGCGACGCCGCGUGAGGGAUGAAGGCCUUCGGGUUGUAAACCUUUUUCGCUCAUGGUCAAGCCGCAGCUUUGGGUUGUGGUGAGGGUAGUGGGUAAAGAAGCGCCGGCUAACUACGUGCCAGCAGCCGCGGUAAUACGUAGGGCGCGAGCGUUGUCCGGAAUUAUUGGGCGUAAAGGGCUUGUAGGCGGUUGGCCGCGUCUGCCGUGAAAUCCUCUGGCUUAACUGGGGGCGUGCGGUGGGUACGGGUUUACUUGAGUGCGGUAGGGGAGACUGGAAUUCCUGGUGUAGCGGUGGAAUGCGCAGAUAUCAGGAGGAACACCGGUGGCGAAGGCGGGUCUCUGGGCCGUUACUGACGCUGAGGAGCGAAAGCGUGGGGAGCGAACAGG
rnacentral:rRNA from 1 species